CUCCAGGCACGCCGAUGAUUGGUUCGAAUGAAGGCCAAUCAGACUCAUGUUCAAGCUCAUUGGUGCUUUCCCGAAGUCUCCGGCGCUCGGGGAGGACCCGAGAAUGCAGAGUGCCCGGCCAAUUCGACCACCGAUUGGCCGGGAUUUCCGCCACUCAUUUCAGUGUGCAGUGUUGCAUUCCCUCUUCCAGAGUUAAGACCAUCGUAGUUUCCCGCUGGGCAGAGUGACUCUCAGCAGUUAGCCACUGCCCGAGAAGCUACCUUGUAGGGCCUCCUGCUAGCAGCUGGAUCUGAGCUGGAGACCGGGAUUCCUGGGAAGUCCAGUAAUAGCUUCCCCAGUUCCUUCCUGGAUCCAAGAUCCUCCUAAGUCCCUUCCCUGGUUUGUUCAUCAUCGCACCACACCCCUUAUCUCGUGAUUCUAGGUUGUCCUGUGCUCCGGUGAGAGUAGGAAGCUAGUUAGCUUCUAACAGGAUACCUGGAGGCCAGGAAAGGGGAAGUCGUGGACAGCGCAGCUAUAAGAAAGUCAGAGGCCCGUCCUGGCAGCAAAGCCACAGGAAGCCGGAUCAAACUGGACUGGCCCAAAGUGUCUGACAAAGAAGGCUGGAAACCCCUGACCAAAUAAGGAAGGAAAGGCGCGAAACGCUGCUUUCAACACAUCCCCGCCUCGGGUAAUAAAUAUCCCACCCCCAGUUAACAGCUGUCGGUGGAAAGUAGACCUCCAAACCCCCAGUGUGCAGUUCUCUCUGGAGCCGGCCCGCUCUCACCUCUCCAGAGCAUACUUUCACUUUAAUAAACUUUCCUGCUUGCAACUGCUCAUCCA